ACACCCUCGAACUCUGUCUGAAGAUUGUAGUCUGAGUAAAAAUAUAAAUUAUUUAAAACUUUCAACAACGGAUCUCUUGGUUCCGGCAUCGAUGAAGAACGCAGCGAAAUGCGAUACGUAAUGUGAAUUGCAAAUUCAGUGAAUCAUCGAGUCUUUGAACGCACAUUGCG
rnacentral:rRNA from 1 species